rfam:Rattus norvegicus chromosome 16, whole genome shotgun sequence.
UCCCUGGUGGUCUAGUGGCUAGGAUUCGGCACUUUCAUUGCCGUGGCCUGGGUUUGAUUCCUGGUCAGGGAA